rnacentral:rRNA from 1 species
AGUGAACGCUGGCGGCGUGCUUAACACAUGCAAGUCGCACGAGAAAGCUUCUGCUUGCAGAGGCGAGUAAAGUGGCGCACGGGUGAGUAACACGUGAGUAAUCUACCUCCGAAUUGGGGAUAACAUUGCGAAAGCGAUGCUAAUACCGGAUAAUAUUACAUAUUCUUAGGAAUUUGUGAUCAAAGGUGGCCUCUUCAUGAAAGCUAUUGUUUGGAGAUGAGCUCGCGUCCCAUUAGCUAGUUGGCAGGGUAAUGGCCUACCAAGGCAACGAUGGGUAGCUGGUCUGAGAGGAUGAUCAGCCACACUGGAACUGGUACACGGUCCAGACU